CCGAUGGAGGGGGAUAACUACUGGAAACGGUAGCUAAUACCGCAUAACGUCGCAAGACCAAAGAGGGGACCUUGGGCCUCUUGCCAUCGGAUGUGCCCAGAUGGGAUUAGCUAGUAGGUGGGGUAAAGGCUCACCUAGGCGACGAUCCCUAGCUGGUCUGAGAGGAUGACCAGCCACACUGGAACUGAGACACGGUCCAG
rnacentral:rRNA from 1 species